rnacentral:rRNA from 1 species
UGAGGAAUAUUGGUCAAUGGGCUUACGCCUGAACCAGCCAAGUCGCGUGAGGGAAGACUGCCCUAUGGGUUGUAAACCUCUUUUGUCAGGGAGCAACAACAUCUACGAGUAGGUGUUACGAGAGUACCUGAAGAAAAAGC